AUCAAAAGGAGAAGAUUGUUUUUGGGAAGUAAAUCACGACUUUGGAACAUAUCCCAGCCUUGUAGUCGUGCGGACAAUACUUGAUGAUUUCAGACUGACAAACCAUUCAUUGAGAUCUGACGCCAUUGGUUCAGGAUUCAUCUGUUACUAUGAUAAAUCUUUCGAACAAGGAAUUCUUAUGUAUGGAUUCAACGAGACAACAUUCCGAAUAUGGACGGAAAUACAGCUGCUGAACUCCCACUAUCUUUACUGUGCGGGCGAUGGGCAAGGAUUCGGGAUCUGUGUGCAACAUGGAACGCUAGAAAUACUGGCUUGGAAGGAGAUGACCUUAGCACCAACAGAGACAAUUAAUCUGUUUUUGGGGACACAUGCUAAAGAACGUUUUGAUCAGGAAAAGCUCAUGUCGACCGAAACAAGAGGCCACAAUUACUUUGUUCA